rnacentral:lncRNA from 1 species
AUCAGAGAGAAGAAUUCAUGAGGGCCCCAAGGCUUUUGCUAGCGGCAUCAAGAACUUGAAACUCAAAUGUUAAAACUUGUUAAAGAAAUAAAUGGAAAUAGAAAAGCUAUUUUACAAAUUAAUUGCCUGCAGGAGACAACUUGAAUGUUAUAACCUUUCCAUGGAUACAAAAGUAAUCAUAAGACAUUGAAGAAAUUUGGAAAAUAUAAAAGAAGAAAAAAUAAAAUAAAAUAAAAAUACCAUUCUUUUAAAAGAAGGGACUUUUAAAACUUUUUUUAUUAACCACUCUCUUACUACGAGGAAGUAACACACAUAAGACAAUUUCAGAAUUAGGUUGUCUUGUCUCCACACGAAUAAAAUUAAAUUCUAAAGUACAUUUGCAACGUAAAAGACAAAGUUUCAGAAUUAGUAAAUAUAUGCAGAGAUAUUCUAAAAUUGUUUUCAGCAAAAUAAAUGAUAUAUUUCAAAUAUUUUAAACAAUUUUGCAAUUAAUACUUUGAUAUGAUUAAUACUCAACAGUAGAGCUGAAGAAAUUGAAUGAACUAAACACACUAACAAAGAAUUAAAGUUUAACCUCAAACGAAAUAUGAAAAGAAAUAAAAUAUUCAACAGUAGAGUUGAAGAAACCAGAAGAACCAAACACAGAAACAAGAAAUUAAAGGUGAAAAAAUUGCUAAAUACUGAGAAAUGAAAAGACUCCCAUUCCAUAUCCUGCUGCCAAUUUUCCAAUGUCCAGAGAUAGAGAUCCUUGGUGUUACUAUUCGGAAUUUUAUCAGAUACGUCGUUGUGUAUUCUUAUUCAUUCGUUCGUGACUCAUAGAAAAAUUCAUUUUCCCACUGUCAUACCAGGAAAGAGAAGUCCCAGCCAUACCUUAUAUAUGCCUGUCCUGCCAAGCCACAAAAUUUGAUCCAGAAAUAAGAAAGUGGACAGUACAGCAUUUGUAGACUGGAAUAUACCAAUAAUGAAUCUUAGAUGUAACCACAUAUAAAACGCUACCAGAACUCACCAAAAGGAAGAGCAAUGCAAAAGAAAAAUAGGCCGUGCAUCUACAAGAAUAAAACAUUUUUUUGAAAUAGUAAACAAAUUCCCAAAGAUCAAACCACACUACGAAGUUAUAGAUUUGUAUCUCACACUGAUACUCGUUCAAUUCUACAUUCAAAGAUUUUGUUGAUUUGUCUUCAUCAAAUUUUUCAUUAUCUUCACCAUGGCCAUACUAGCAAUGCAAUACAUCAAUGCUUCCAGCCU